AUUUAACUGACGAGUUCAAAAUAGGAUGAAACGUAUAUCCUGGAU
rfam:Schistosoma haematobium scaffold1358_11, whole genome shotgun sequence.